GAUGGAUCCGCGUCCCAUUAGCUAGUUGGAGGAGUAAUAGCCCCCCAAGGCAACGAUGGGUAGCCGGCCUGAGAGGGCGAACGGCCACACUGGAACUGAGACACGGUCCAGACUCCUACGGGAGGCAGCAGUGGGGAAUAUUCCGCAAUGGGGGCAACCCUGACGGAGCAACGCCGCGUGAGGGAAGAAGGCCUUCGGGUUGUAAACCUUUGUUCUAUGGGAAGAAAGAAAUGACGGUACCAUAGGAGGAAGCCCCGGCUAACUACGUGCCAGCAGCCGCCGUAAAAC
rnacentral:rRNA from 1 species